AGGAAGCCUAGCAACUACUUUUGCCAAACUUCUGUUUUAACAGCCUUGUUUGGAUUCAGUCAAUGAGAGGCAUUCAAGUGAAAUUUGGGAGAUAGAAGAGAAGCAGAAGCCAUUAUUGUUUCUCCAAUAUCAAAGACUGUGGACCCGAGGACUGCCCAUGGGGAUUUACUGAUCAGAUCCGUGCUCCAAUCAAGUCCUCUGUUUCCAUCAAUGACAGAUAAACCUGCAUCCAAGAAACCAGCAAAGACAGCCCUGAAAUACUUUUCUAGAGAACCUUGUCAAGUCUCACUCCUACUCCUAACCAUCCCGUUACUAUUCCCAGCAAGACUACAGACCAGGCUUCCUGAAGAUGCAUUCUCACCAGGCUUCAACCCUUGACAGCAUCCAGAUUUGCUGUGGCCCCAUGCUCUGCAGCCUGCAAACUGUGUCAUCCAGCCAACGUGGUUAACUCAUCCCAGAACACCCCCUGAAUCCUUGCCAGAGCUAAGCCCACAGUGAUGUUCCUUCUAUUCCUCCUAGGAACCAAGAGGUGGAGACCCGUAUAGUUUCGACUGUGUGCCAUGCACAGAUCAUGUCCUGCCAAAUACCAUGAUGUCCACUUGGAGGUGGUGGGACAUUUAAUGGUGGUCUCCAUUAUAGCAGAGGAAUCUAUAGAUUUUGUAGGUUAAUGGGAAUUGCUAGGUUUUCCAAAAUGACAAAUAGGAACACGAGAAAACCAAUUUACUCAGCCGCUAAUCUUGAGUGUCCUUUAUAACUACAUUUUCAGGAGAAAGCAAGGAAAUUUUUCUUUCUGUCAUUCACUUUAUUCAUGUAUACCAUAUAUAGGAAAAUACAUGAAUCACAAAUGUACAGCUGGAUGAAUUUUUGCAAAGUGAACACACUAGUUUAAUCAGUA
rnacentral:lncRNA from 1 species